CCCACCGCACCAAACCCUACCCAUAUCACUCACCUCUCCUCCCUUCCUUCCUCCCGCCGCCUCCCUCUCUCUCUCCCCGAUCCAGAUCGACGCCGCCACCCCUCUCUAACCCUAGCUUCCUGUCGCUGGCGGCGCGCCCUCCUUCGAUCGCCCUCUCCUCCUCCUUCCCUCCUCACGAGUAUCUCCACCACGCCACGAAUCCCGGCGACCCACCCCGUCUCCGCGCCCGCCUCGGGAACCACCUCCGCCACUCGUCCGAGUCCCAUCCGUGUCUGCGCCGGCUCCGUCUCCGUCUCCUUUCAUGGGAGGUGACCCGCACCCAGCCCCGCAGCAGGGGAGGGGCGGCGGCGGCCUCGUGUAGAUCCCAUCGGGAUCCCGUCUGGAUCACGGCGCGGACGCUAAGGCCACAACGGCGGUCACCCUCCACACACCACCAUGCCCCCCCUCACCCUGGCCCCAGGUCGGGCAGUGCAAGGCGGUGCUCCCAUACCCGCGACGGCCGCAUCCUUCUCCACUCCGAUCUGGAGCUGGAGAUGGUCACCGAUGUGGUGAACUACCCGCUCGUCGCAGGGCUCCUGACCUUCGCGGUCGCACAGUCCACCAAGUUCUUCACCACCUGGUGAUCUUGCUGCUCCCCUCCCCUCCCCCGCCCCGCGUUACAGUUCUGUCCGAGGGUUUGGCUCCGCUCGCCGGGUUCCUGCUUGUGUGAGCAUUGCGGAACCGGUGGGAGCGCAUGUGAUUUUGGUGGUCGGGAGUUCGUAGCUUAUCUACUUAGCGCGAAGGUGAACAUAGAUUUGGAUUUGAGUCCUGCUAGGAAUGGUAUUUGACUAAUUUUCUUUAGGCUUUUUUUAGUUUUAUAAUUCGGCGGAUCAGUUCGUAGCUAGGCUGUGGAUCCUCGCGAAGCUUAGCGAGAUCUUCCUCUUAUUUUUGUGGUUCGCUUCACCGUGUUGGUAUGAUCUGCGCCAACUGCUUCUGAAACUAGCUAUUCAUGAACCACUAGCAAAAUACUUUGUCAAUGAGGCAAAUGGAAAUGCUAGAUAUGCCACGUUGUGUGAGAGUUGGACGAAUGCUUACAGUUACCGAACUAGGACAAAAAACAUGCCAGAAGUUUGUGUACUUGUUCGGUAUGUUUUCCACUGGAAGUAGUGGACCACAUUACUCACAGUCAUGAGGUUUUAGCUAUUAAUCCGAGAGCAUUUUAGGGUCAUUCGAAUGGUUUGGUGAGGCACUUAGAGGCCUGUUUUUUUAGGGUCAUUCGUUCAUUCAUUUUGGUUCAGUUAGCUAGGGGCUAUCAGCAAUUAAAUUCAGAGAAAUCCCUGUCAAGCAUGAUGUUCUCCUACAUACCUACUACCAUAUGUUUGUACUGAAUAUAUUGACAUGAGAUGACACUAUGAUGCAAUAGAAUGGCUAGCACAAGCUUUCCCUUCUAAGGAUGCCAGCAGUAGGAAGAAUCAUUGUAGCGCUUUGGUAAAGUGGAGGGGUUCAGGUUCCCCAAGUGUUUAUUCUUGAUCACUCUCCAUUUUUAUCUUUCAUGUGCUGACAUUCUUCUCUAUCCUGUUUGCAAUUGAUCUUUUGUCCGUCUGCCUCGACAUUGGCGAAUGGCGGUACACAUCCAUUAGUUUAUUUGGAUGAGUUCAAGAUCCUCUCACUUCUUGGAAAAGCCCGCAUACUUUCCAAUGCCCAUGAUUCCAAAAUUAUUCUGUAUGCUUCCAAAGUCCAGAUUGCAUUGUCCAUGGUAGCCUUCCUCUGAUUAAUUUUCGAAUUUUGAAUUCUGCAACCACCUUCUUCCUUCUUUGAGGGGAAAGUGGGAUAGUAUUAAAAGGAAAUGCAGCAGCGCUUUGGUAAAGUGGAAAGCUCGUUUUAUAUUUUUGUCCCCAUGCAUGCAUCCAAAACAUACGCUCAAAAGCAUCAGGUAAUGUGGCACUACUGCCAUGUAUACAUGGGUUAAGAUCAUCCUUAAUUCAGUGUUCUUGGUAGGAUCUUACAAGACAGAGGAGGAAGCAGCUCGCACCCAUGAUCUCGUGGCGCUCAAGUGAUGGGGCUCAGGCGGCGCUCAAGUGCUGGGGCCCAGACUUUGGGCUCCUCAACUUCCUAGUGGACACGUACAUGCAGGAGCACGAGAGGAUGCAGCGCGUGACAUGGGAGGAGUACCAACAACAACAACUUCGCCGACAAGGGCCUACCGCUCAACAUCCUGGUGUACUUGCCACUACAAUCAUGUGCAUCUGAUAGUUCAGGUUCAGUCAGGAAUUGUCAAGACCAUUCAGGUUCAGAUUCAGCGAGAUGGCUCUCUGAACCAUGAGUACGUAGCACAACACAUGCCUUGCCGGCUGACAGACGGGACCACUAGUUGUCCUGUGGCUCUACUACUGUACCAUGUGUUCCUACUACUAGCUCUAGUCGUGGAUGCUGGGUAGCUCCCUAUUUUCUCUGUUUUUUAUGCAA